ensembl:lncRNA
AGACAAUUGGCCACUGAAGGGUUCCCUCUUGGUGGAACUGGACUAGAGCUGAUCACUAACAAGGCUGAAUCUUUAUUAAGUUUGCAAGGACAACUUCAAGAAGUGAAGCAAAGAGAUGUGAGAAGCAAAGGACCAACAAGCUGCCUCUUCUUCCGGCAAAUUGCACCAACUAACAUGAGCAGUAGCUGCUUCAGGCCUCACUGGCCUCUCUCUUUGGCUUUGCAUAGAAAGGAACUUCAAAGGCAGAAAAUGGAGAAGAGAUGGUACCCUGCUCCAGCAGCUGGAGAACAGAGUAAAGAUCUCAAGGCCACACCUGUAUGGAAGCACAACUGAUCUAUUAACAAGAUUUAACCAAAGUGUCACCUUCUGAAAGCUUUUCCGGCAGCAGUACAAAAGGAAUUACUCUCUCCUCUGACAGUACCAGGAGGCUAACAAAAAUGCUGACGCUACCGAUCUUAUUUGUAGCAAUGGCUAACAGAGGUAGCAGGCCAGGGUAAUACGGAUUACGGAACAAUGAGGAAUACAAAAAUGAAUUUUCCUGAAUUAAAAUGUAGGUGAGUACACAGCACUGUAGUCCAUGUGAUGUUCU